AGAGUUUGAUCCUGGCUCAGGACGAACGCUGGCGGCGUGCCUAACACAUGCAAGUCGAACGGGAUCCACGCCAUGAAGUUUUCGGAUGGAUUGGUGUGGUGAGAGUGGCGAACGGGCGAGUAACGCGUGAGCAACCUACCUCGUACUGGGGGAUAACGUCGGGAAACCGGCGCUAAUACCGCAUAAGACUACGAUGCCGCAUGGCAAUGUAGUCAAAGCUCCGGCGGUACGAGACGGGCUCGCGUCCGAUUAGCUAGUUGGUAGGGUAAUGGCCUACCAAGGCGACGAUCGGUAGCCGGACUGAGAGGUCGGCCGGCCGCAUUGGGACUGAGACACGGCCCAGACUCCUACGGGAGGCAGCAGUGGGGAAUCUUGGACAAUGGGGGAAACCCUGAUCCAGCCAUUCCGCGUGUGCGAUGAAGGCCUUCGGGUUGUAAAGCACUUUUGGCGGGGAAGAAAUUGCGCGGGCUAAUACC
rnacentral:rRNA from 1 species